rnacentral:tRNA from 1 species
GCGGUCAUGGCGGAAUGGUAGACGCGCUAGCUUGAGGGGCUAGUGGGAGCAAUCCCGUGGAAGUUCGAGUCUUCUUGGCCGUA